CUAUACAACACAGAUAGUAGUAAUAUCUUAGAGUUGUUAAGUUGAAAUACAGUUGACCCUUGAACGACAUAGGUUAGAGCCCCACAGACCAACUUACACAGAAUUCUUUCUGUCUCUGCCACCCCUGAGACAGCAAGACCAACUUCUCUUCCUCCUCCUCAGCCUACUCAAUGUGAAGAUGACGAAGAUGAAAGCUUUUAUGACAAUCUACUUCCACUUAAUAAAUGGUUCCAAUAUGAAUGGUGAAUGUAAUUUAAUAUGCCAUGGAAAUGAAGAGCUGUAGAACUGGUUAUUAUGCCCAGUAUAAAUGGAAGAGCUGUAGUCUACAAAUGGAGGUGAAGCAUCCCCACUGGUCAGGAGGACAACCUUGGCCAGUUAUCUUUCCUAGAAGAAG